ACGGGGACCCGCACAAGCGGUGGAUGAUGUGGAUUAAUUCGAUGCAACGCGAAGAACCUUACUACCCUUGACAUGUCCGGAACUUGCCAGAGAUGGCUUGGUGCCGAAAGGGAAUCGGAACACAGGUGCUGCAUGGCUGUCGUCAGCUCGUGUCGUGAGAUGUUGGGUUAAGUCCCGCAACGAGCGCAACCCUUAUCAUUAGUUGCUACGCAAGGGCACUCUAAUGAGACUGCCGGUGACAAACCGGAGGAAGGUGGGGAUGACGUCAAGUCCUCAUGGCCCUUAUGGGUAGGGCUUCACACGUCAUACAAUGGUCGGUACAGAGGGUUGCCAAGCCGCGAGGCGGAGCCAAUCCCACAAAGCCGAUCGUAGUCCGGAUUGUUCUCUGCAACUCGAGAGCAUGAAGUCGGAAUCGCUAGUAAUCGCAGGUCAGCAUACUGCGGUGAAUACGUUCCCGGGUCUU
rnacentral:rRNA from 1 species